AUACUUAAGAGUCUAAUGGCCCAAACAUGAAUCAGAACCUACAUAAAUGGAAACAGUAUGUAUAAGGCAUCUUCAAAGAAUAAUUCAUAAUUAAAUCGAAUUAUACGUCUGAUUUGAACAAUGUUAUGAUAAUAACAUUGUUAAAAUCUUUGGUUUAUAAAACAAAAUAUUCGCCUUCAGAGAGAAAUAUACUGAUGUAAUGGUAUGGGUACAUGGCACAAAACAGUUUGUUAACUGGUUUGAAGUGGAAGAAGGAUGAUGUGAAACAGCGAAUUAUUAAAUUGACUCUGAAUGUGCUCGACUGGACCACCAGAAGCAUCAGUAGCUACAUUACCAUGGAUUCCUGUAGAGGGCGCUGGUUAAAUGUAAAAGCCUGGGUAAUAAAACCAAUCUGUUUGUCUAUUUUACAACUAUUACAAUCCAUCUAAUUUAGGAAGCAGGUGGAACUUCAGAUUACCUGCUCCACAUAUUAAGAACAAAAGCAAACAAAGGAUUGAAGGACUUAAUAUUUGAUCUUGAUCUGCCUUCACAUGCUGAAAUUCUUCCAAAACAACAGUGCUGCUUUCAGUUGGGUUUGUUACCUAAUGCAUCCUGUAACAUUUCGUCAUUAAAAGGAAGAAUCUUUUUUCUAUUUGUUUAAAUUGACUCUGUCUGCUUUCUUAUUUUGACUGUAUUUAGGAUGUUUUGCACUGUAUGUUUAGGUAUAAGUUAAUGGCUGACCUGAUUUGUCAGUGUUCUGUACCGCCUGUGUCAGGACAGCAAAAUUACCGGAAUAAAGAGAAAAAUAACACCACAAA